AAUAAGAUGUCAAAGCUUACAGGAAGCUUUAUUAUGGCUGGAUGGUACAUGUAACAUAAAAAUUCUAUUUUUCCCCGUCCUCAUGAAAUGGCAUCCAUCCUAUUGUCAGUGCUGCCAGGAAAAAAAAAGAACUGGUGUAUUACAACCUAAGACAAAGUGUUGAGAUGUUUGGCAGUCCUAUACAUUCACAGAGAAAAUGUUCUGCUGGAAAUAUGGGGCAACAUUCAGCCUGUACACACACAGACUAGUUAUGCUCAUGCUUGGCAAAUUCUCUAAUAGAUGGACUACAAUAAUCUUGUAUGCAGUAUCUUCAAGCUUUUCGAAAACUUACAAUUACAAUAGGAUUCCACCAAAAACUGAAAGAGAAAAGAAGCUGAUGUACUCAAGCAAUCCCUGGCAAGAGAAAUUAAUUUGUGAAAUGAAAGAAUGCACAGACUUAAACAUUUUAAUAUUUUUUUGUACAAAAAUUGACAUUGAAAGGAAUUUACUGUAUGUGUAGUUAAAAUAGCGGGCUUCAUAUUUCAUCUACUUUUGCACGAAUUAACGAGGUGCCAUUGUAGUACAAAAUUAAUUUAGGUUGGAUAAGAGUUGUUCUCUGACAAAAAAUUGGUACAAGUUAACCACAAUCCGUGUCCCAGUUACAAUCAUCGAUCCUUUUCAUAUCCGGAACCACCAGCAUCGCGUUGAGACACAUAAAAAGACAAAUAUAUUCAGAAAAGAAGAGGAUGUGCUAAUAUUCAUGAAUACACUAAGAAUUCAUUUAUAAAUAGAAUAUACGACACAAAUAUUUGUAACGCUAAUUCAUGAUUAUGCCAACAACUCCAUAUUUAUUGAUUGCGCUAAAUUUUGAAAGUGCUAAAUUAUGUACAUGUACAGUAUCUUUCCCUAGCUUGAACUUUUCUCUGUUAAGGAUUUUGCUUAUUUUAUU